AUCUGACUGGCUCAGUUGGUAGAGCAUGGGGUUCUUGGUCUCGGGAUUGUGAGUUUGAGCCCUAUGUUGGAUA
rnacentral:tRNA from 1 species